AACCAGCAUACUUACAAGUCAUCAGGCAGAUAAAGCCAGCCGAUGUGGAAGUAAAACAGCUUUUUUGACCAGCAUCAACAGCCGCAUUACAAAGAUCAAAGACAAAUACGUACUGUCGUCUCCCGUGACAAAACUCCAAAACUCCCAAACUCAUCGUUUGCCUGGCUUCAAGUGUCUCGUUGAAAAAAUGAAGAGGAGUUAUCCUUCUGGAGCUGAAACGACAAAAGAAAAAAAAUCAAGGAGGCGAAAAAGAAGGAGAAAUAGUGAUAAAAAGGAGCUGCUGUGUAAAACGCUGAUGGAGCUGGGGGAAGAUGACCUCAAGGCCUUGAAGUUCUUCACAUACUUGCCUCACAGAUUACUUGAAACUCCCAGCCCGGUGGAUUUUGCUGACGAACUGGUGAAGAAGCACGGCGAGAACGCUGUAAAAGAGACCGUCAAGAUUCUGGUGAAGAUCGGUAGCAACAAUUUGGCUGAGAAGCUGCGCAGCGACAUACUGAAACUAAAAGGCAACAUUUUCUCUGGCCAUGAAGACGAUCAGAUUACCAGAUUGAAGGAGGACUUGCAAGAAAACCUGCAGAGUUUAUACAGCUUUGCUUCCGAGGGUAACGCGGAACACUGGCCGCAGCAGCCUCUGGCGGACAUUUACACGGAGCUGGAUGUCAUCUACGAGGACGACGUCAGCCCCGACGAGCGGCACGAGGUCCUUCAGAUGGAGACACGUGCCGCGGCGGCCAAGAAGCCUAUCCUGCUGUGCGACAUCUUCAAAAGCCAUGAAGGGAAGGAGCGAUCGAUACGCACGCUGCUCACCGUCGGCUUUGCGGGAAUCGGAAAAACCUUCCUGGUUCAAAAGUUUGUGUGCGACUGGGCCAGCGGGAAUACCAAUCAGGACGUGCACUUCAUAUUUCCCUUAGCCUUCCGAGAGUUGAACACGGACGAAGGGAAAAGCUUUACGCUGGCCCAGCUCAUCCGACGCUACAUCUACGAAAGCAGGAAAAUGAGCGAGGAGAUGCUGAAUUAUAUAUUUGCCGACCUACAGACGUCCGGGAAGCGGGACUACGAAAGCAGCGGGAUCAAGAUCUUGUUCGUCUUGGACGGACUGGAUGAGUGCAAGUUCAAAAUGGACUUGAAGAAUGAGAUGAAAGUAGACAUGGAUGUGAAAAAGCCCUACCCGCUGGAGGUGCUCCUGGCGCACCUCAUUAAGAGGAACCUGCUUCCGUGCGCCCGGGUUUGGAUCACCUCGCGGCCCGCCACGGCCCGCGAUAUCCCCUCCGACCUCAUUGACAGCAGAACAGAGGUGAGAGGAUUCAGCGAUUCACAGAGGCUGGAGUACUUCAGGAAAAAGUUCCGAAAAAGGGAGCGUGUCGUUGAGCACAUCCGAAAAACUCGCCCCAUCUUCAUCAUGUGCAACCUGCCCAUCUUCUGCUACCUCACCGCAACAGUUUUUCAGGAUCAUUUGGACAAAGGGAAGAAGCUUCCCACAGCGCUUACCGACAUGUACUCAAAGUAUGUGUUUCGCCACCUGGACAAGUCCAAGAAGAGAAAGACUACUGAGUACAUCCAUUAUGUGAAAGCGCUAGCUAAGCUGGCCUUUCACCACACCAUGAGUAAGCAACAGAUCUUCUACGAGAAGGACCUGGCGGACAGCGGAUUUGAUUACAGCCAAGCCGCAAAACACUGCGGAAUAUUCACUGAGGUGUUUAGGGAGGUGCGUCCGCUCAGAAGAAACUUACAGGGCAAGAUGUUUCAGUUCAUCCAUCUGACAGUCCAGGAGUAUAUGGCCGCAGUCUACGUAAUGAUAAGCCUUUUCCACGACAGCAAGAACGUAUUGGCUGAUUCAGAGCUAGCACCGGACGGUGUUUUCCAAGAAAAUGAAGAAUCAGAAGAAACAGAAUCAGAGGAAGAAUAUGAAGCAGAAUCAGAGGAAGAAUAUGAAACAGAAUCGGACGAAGAAGUUGCAACAGAAUCAAAGGAAGAAGUUGCAAUAGAAUCAAAGGAAAAAGUUGAAUCAGAGGAAGAAGAAACAGAAGAUUGGAAAAUCACUAGUGUCCACCGGUUCGCUCUCCAGAAGGCUUCAGAGAGUGAAGGAAACCUGGACCUGUUCCUCCGCUUCCUCUUUGGCCUUUCCUUGCGGUGCAACCAGAAAAUAGUGGGGGAACUGCUAAAGGCUCCUCAGGACUGCAGGCAAAGCAAGUCAAAGACAGUCGACUUGAUCCAGGAAAAGAUGAAACGGAACGCUCCAGAGAAGAACAUUAACUUGUCCUACUGCUUAGAAGAGCUGAAGGACGACUCCUUGCUGAAUCAGUUCUGGAAGAAAAGAGAUUCAAGACAUUUUAGGUGGUCCAAAAUGACAAAUGACAUGUGGUCUGUCAUGGCCUUCUCCUUACUGACAGACGCCACCAGGCAGUGGUUUGAUCUUGGGGAUUUUGUCCGAUUGCCUUUGGGGCUCGAGAAGCUGGUGGUGGUGGUCAAGGAUCGUGAAGGCACAAUCCUUAAAGAUUGUCAACUAGACAAGGGCAGCUGUCACCUGCUGGCUUCCGUUCUAAGCUCUCCAUCCAAACUGAUCAAUCUGUACCUGUCCAAGAACGAGCUGUUGGAUGAAGGGGUGGAGAUCCUCUCGAAAGGACUGGCCAGUCCACACUGCAUCUUACAAGUCCUCGAGAUGUUCGAAUGCGGGAUCACACAUAAAGGAUGCUUUUCGUUGGUUGAGGCUUUCAAGUUAUACCCCUCCCAUCUUAAAGAACUGAAUCUGAGUAAAAACGAUCUGCUGGACGAGGGAGUGGAGAUCCUUUCGAAAGGCCUGGCCAGUCCAAACUGCAACUUAAAAAGACUUUCGCUACAACACUGUGGAAUCACGGAGGGAGGAUGUGUUUUCUUGGCCGAGGCUUUCAAGUUAUACCCCUCUAAUCUUGAAGCACUGGAUCUGGGUAAAAACAAUCUGUUGGACAAGGGGGUGAAGAUCCUCUCGAAAGCACUGGCCAGUCCAAACUGCAACUUAAAAAUGCUCAGGCUGCCCAACUGUGGGAUCACAUUUAAAGGAUGCUUUUCGUUGGCCGAGGCUCUCAAGUUAAACACCUGCCAUCUUGACGUACUGGAUCUCAGUAAAAAUGAUCUGUUGGACAAGGGGGUGAAGAUUCUCUCGAAAGGCCUGGCCAGUCCAAACUGUAUCUUACAGUACCUCAAGUUACAAUCCUGCGGCAUCGGGACGCGAGGAUGCUCUUUUUUGGAUGAGGCUAUCAAGUUAAACCCCUCCCAUUUUAGAAAGCUGCGCCUGCGAUACAAUGAUAUGUCAGGCAAGGAGUCAUUUUUCCUCAGGGAGAGCUGGUGCCCCCGCGACCUGACCCCGGAACAAGUGGAAGAUGAUGGAUGGAUGGAUGAAUGGAGUGAUGAAUGGAGUGAUGAAUGGAGUGAUGGAUGGAUUGAUGGAUGGAUGGAAGAAUCGAUGGACUUUUAUUAGGCUGAGGCGGUCAAGUUAUACCCCUCUCAUCUUCAAGAGCUGUACCUGCAAUACAACGAUCUGUCACACGAGGGGUUCAAGAUCCUCUCGAAAGGACAGCAAACUCCAAGGACAAAGCGCUUUGUCCUAAAACAAGUACAACCAGCCUGGACAGCAAAGUUGAUAGCGGGCGUCCCAAUCCGGGCACGAACCUAAGCCGCCCAAAACCGGCCACAGCGGGGAUGGCCCAAAAGUAACGCCCAGAAACGCCUUCGACAAGACCCGCGUCAGCAAAGACUUCAAAAAGACUGGACACUGAGAUAAGACAGAUUUCUUCUGCUCGGAAACAUGUAGCCUUGUUUUGGAUCCAGAAUUGCCCCUCCGUCGUCUGUUUUUGCCUUGUUUUUGACCAUUGCCGACGAAUAAAUUGUCAACCUGUUUUCGGCGAGUGUUCUUCAAGCUUUUGAAACAUGGAGUCAGUGUGCUAAGGGUCAACACAGGAACGCGCUGAGUUUGGCCUCCUCCUGGCCUGGCUCCUCGGGGGCGUCGAGCGGCGGAGCACAUUUCCGUUCUGUUGCCGGCCUCCCCGUGCGGUUUGGGCUGGGAGGACUAAAUUCCUUCACAGUAAAACAUGCUAAUAAUUAGUGUUGCACCGAUACCAUUUUUUGGCCCCGAUACCGAUACCUGGCUGUGCAGUAUCGCCCGAUACCGAUACCAUACCGAUACCACCCCGUUUAUAUAUAUACAGUGGUACCUCGACAUACGAUCGCUUCGACACCCAAUCUUUUCAACAUCCGACGUAAAAUUUGACUCACCAUUUGUUUCUACAUCCGACGACAUGCUCCAAAUACGACGACAUGACAGCACCGCAAACGAACGCAUGGCGGAUUUUCAUGUGUGAGAAAUCAACACAGAUUUUCAAAACGUUGGUACAGUUGGUCAAACAAGGAAAAAAGUGAUGCUUACCUUUGAAAUGAAAAUGCAAAUUAUAUAAAAAUAUGAGCGCUGGGGUGCGCAUCCAUGAGCUGGCUCAACAAUACAGCUCCACGGUCCUCUUCCGACCACCGUUCGCCAGUCUUUCUAAGUUAAGGUGACAAUAUUAUUGUGGUAACGUCGUCAAGGAAAUCGCCAGCUUUGUCACAUUUUUAUCAUUUAUUUAAAAACUUAUUCAACACAAAACGUCCAUUUCCCUCCGUGACUGUGCUCUUGAGAAAACGAAAGUAUUAUCUCUACCGCACUGACCUAUCUCACUGUGACGUCAGCCCCGCGGUGCGUUCAGGUACAGCAAAAAGUGUCCGCCACAUUAGAAUCCGAUUCGUUACAUUAUUUACAGGAAUGAUUAUUAUUAUUAUUAUUAUAUUAUUCCGAUUUUUAUUCAUAACUUAUUUGUUUUGCUAUGUUUAAUUGCCAUUUUUAAUAGUACCAGCAGUAUUUAUUAAGGAUUUACUGUAGGUUUUUGGCUGUGGAACGAAUUUAAUGUAUUCCUAUGGGAAAAUCCUGCUCGACAUACGACCAUUUCGACUUACAAACAAGGUCCUGGAACGAAUUAACUUCGUAUGUAGAGGUACCACUGUGUAUAUGUAUUUUUUUUCUUAAUUUUUUUUUUUUCAAAGAGCUACAUAAUUGGAUGUGAAAUCAUUGCUAUCAAGGCUUUGUCAGGCUGUUGCUUAUCUUUGCAAAAUAGGAAAAAGUACACUAAACCAUAGUACACAAUAGUUGAAUAAACUUUUGGCUCUCAAAGGCCAAAAUAGUGCUAAAUUUGUGAAAUUAAUAAAACAUGUAUAAUACUAGCCCAACAGUAAGAAAGUAAAAAUAAAUUCAUAAUAAUAAACUCUGAAUGAACUGAAUAAACUUUUUUAAACCUCUCAAAGUCCAAACAGUGCACAUUUCAUGAAAUUAUUGUCACAUUCUGCUGCUGGUCAGAUUGUGUUUUGUUGCUGGGCGUGGGGGCGUGGCACUUGAAUCCAAUGCAGGCUCAUCAACGCAGCAUUUAAGCACGGGUGAUCUCAGAGAAGGCUGCCGAGAUAUUUGCCGCUACAUUUGCUUGUUAUGCCCCUGCAUUAGGUUUUUCUGUUAGUGUGCUGCUCUCGUUUGUAACAGCUGCCUAUCGUCUUAGUUUGUCCGUUGACCUGCUGUCACGGACUCCUUUUGUUAUUUCUACUGUCCCGCGAUCGCGUGCUAUUUUUUGUUUGCAAUCAUUAAACCCUUUUGUGUAUCCCCCGCUUGUUGUCUGCUUCGAGGUUCAACCUUGUUUCCGCAUUUGACGACGCUAACAAUUAUAAGUAAUAAUAAUUGACCACAGCAUCCCGUCUCUCAUUUUUUUCGGGCGGUGGGAGUCCCUUAUUUCUAUUUCUGAAAGGUGGCAACAAUACUUUGGAAACACUUCCCAAAUUACUGCGGCAUUUCUUUCAGUAAAAGACAAUAAAAGUAAAGUAGACGAAGUGAACUGACCAGAGAUUGUUGCUCCGGUCCAGCGGCCUUCUUCCUCUGGAUAGCAGUCCUGCUCUUGCAGGCUCAAACUCGUUGUGUUCGUUCACGUUUCGUCUUCAAAUGUUUUAUCAAGUUCAAGGUAUUGAAACUGGCCGAUUCAACUCCACAUCUCCAAACUUUCAGGCCGCAAAUCUUGCAUGCAGCCAUUGAUUUUAAUUGACGGGAUUUCUAUUUGGAAAUAUUUACCGACCGCCGCCAUAUUUCCUGGUUUGUUUUUCGUCCAUAUGAAAAAGCCCCCUUUUGAUUGGUCAGGAGUGGCUAUUGGCGCGCUCUCAUUGGUCUGGAGCAGGCCAAUAGCGAUAGCUGCUUGGUGUUCACGUGUCAUCACACAACACAGUUGUGUAGUGAGCGCCAGGAGGAGAAAAAGGCUGUGGUCAAAUGUUAUAAUAAUGGACUGGUAAAUGGUAUCGGCACCGUCUUUGUUGGUACUCGCCGAUACCACCAUUUCGGGCCGGAUCAGCGCCCCCUGCUGAUACUAGUAUCGGUGCAUCUUUACUAAUAAUAUUGUAAACUGUCUUAAAAAUGAAAACACACAAACAACAUCAAACUAUUAACUAUUACACACUCCCUUUGAUUUGCUUGCCCAGCCCAAAAACCCACCAAAUUUUAUGUUUUAUUUGUAGGCAUGAGCCCGAAAAAAAACAAAAUUUUAUGCUUUAUUUGUGAGGACUCAGGAGCGAUGCGUGGUUACGUUUUGUGUGAUCACGUUUGGUGACGCCAGUGCAUAUAUGCAUAAUGAUAACAAAUUAUAGCCUGUCAUUUGUAACAAAUUCUCCCAGUUAAACAAGACCGUAAGAUGGAUAUUUAAUAAACAUUUAUAUAUUUUAUAUUUGCAUGUGUGUUCUAACAGGUGGAUAGUGGAUUUGACAUUUAUUUUAAUCUCGAGUUGGCAGAAAAAAAACGCUUUCUCAAUGAAAAAAGUUUUCUCAAUGUGUAAAUACUCUACAUAUUUUUUUCAUUAUAAAUGGAAAAGUACAUAAAUAAAUACAUCGUUUUAGUAUAAAUAUAUGAAUAUAUAUUUUUUGAAAAAAGUCUGCCCGAUGCGUCUAAAUCCCACUAUACUCACGAGAGAUACAGUGCCUUGCAAAAGUAUUCGGCCCCCUUGAAUCUUGCAACCUUUCGCCACAUUUCAGGCUUCAAACAUAAAGAUAUGAAAUUUAAUUUUUUUGUCAAGAAUCAACAACAAGUGGGAUAUAAUCGUGAAGUGGAACAACAUUUAUUGGAUAAUUUAAACUUUUUUAACAAAUAAAAAACUGAAAAGUGGGGCGUGCAAUAUUAUUCGGCCCCUUUACUUUCAGUGCAGCAAACUCACUCCAGAAGUUCAGUGAGGAUCUCUGAAUGAUCCAAUGUUGUCCUAAAUGACCGAUGAUGAUAAAUAGAAUCCACCUGUGUGUAAUCAAGUCUCCGUAUAAAUGCACCUGCUCUGUGAUAGUCUCAGGGUUCUGUUUAAAGUGCAGAGAGCAUUAUGAAAACCAAGGAACACACCAGGCAGGUCCGAGAUACUGUUGUGGAGAAGUUUAAGAGAAGCGUGAGGGAGUGCUUAAUUUGUAAAUCAUAAGGUGCCGGAACGCAAAGUACAUAUGACAGCGCAGGGAUGACUGGACAUGCACAGGUCCAGGAACACAGGCAAAAACUAGUGUCGAAAACAACAUGCAAAUGCCCACUUGACAUACUGUGGGACUUACAAGCCUCAAUUUCAGAUAAUAUCCAUGGUAUGAAUGUUAUGACAAUUUACAAUUAUUAUUUUAUUUACAUAACCACAUGUACCGGUCCGGUCCGGUAACACUGAACACAGCAUUUUUUCUCCUGACCCUCAAUACACCCUGUGUUGUGUGUAGAGGUAUGAUCGGGCCUAAAAAAUCCAGCCCGACCCAGCACGCGGGUAUUAAAGACCGACUGGCCCGAGGCUGAUCAAUUAACUUGAUUUGCUGGCCCGAGCCCGAAAAACAAAACAAAAUUUUAUGUUUUAUUCGUAGGCCCUGUGUUGAUAUUAUUAAGUCAUACCGUCCCACCACUAGGGGUCUGUAUUGGCUAAGACAAGAUAAUAUAAGUGAAGUAGAAAAGUUGUUGAUGAUAGUGACGGGAUCUGUCGUUCACUUGAGUAAACGAAUCCAUUCCGGUUCGUUCAGUAAAAAGAUUCGUUCAACGAAUCGUUCACCCCCCUCAUCUCCCUCCCCGCCCAAACGAAUCGUUCGGUUACUGAACGGGAAGUGACGUUGCCGAACGAAUCACCAAAGACCGCUUCGCAGUAUAACUGAACGGGAAGUGACAUUGCUUGGUCCCGCCUUCUCUUGCACACAGGCUCAUCAUUGACUGCUCGUCGUUGUUUCAGAAAUGAGUGACAGACGAUAUCAUUCUGCUUUCCGAGCCUCGUCUCCCUCCCGCUGCUGUAAAAGCGAGGGAGAACUUCCGCGUCGUCUGUUCUAGUUCUAAGGGCUCAAAGUCAUGGCUCGUGCUUGCAUUUCGAUUUAGGACACUGUUAAACAUUUUCCUUUUGUGAGGGGAGUAGGGGGCGGGGUCGCACUGACUUUCUUUAACAGGUUCUUGAUCACAUAUACAAUCACAUAUACAGCAUGCUUGCUGUCACGAAAAUAAAAAUACAUCGAAAGUUUAAUUUCUGAAUAUGGAACGACCAACACAUCAUAUUUACAUCUCGCUCUGUUGUAUUUUUGUUUUUUAGUAUUAAGAUGAACGUAUUGUAUUUUUGCACUGGUAUUAACAAAUAAAAUACCCCGGUCAGCUCCCCUGUCGUCCUCUCAUCUCAGAUCGCCAAAUGCUGACGAGAAAUAAUUGUUUGCUCUUUACGAUGUCGCCUUUCUACUCUCAUUAGUCUGUU